GCGCGAUUAGCUCAGGUGGUUAGAGCACCCCGCUGAUAACGGGGAGGUCCCAAGUUCGAGUCUUGGAUCGCGCA
rnacentral:tRNA from 1 species